GCCUAACAGCUAGCCCUCCCAAUUUUACCAAAACCCCGCCAUACAUAAUUUUACAGUAAGCACUGACUAAACAAACCAUUUUUCCCCCUAAGUACGCGUGACGGAAACGGAGACCACAGGAGCGAUAGAUAAAGUACCGCAAGGGAACGCUGAAAAAGAAAUGAAACAACCCUCCUAAGCGCUAAAAAGCAGAGGUUAACCCUCGUACCUUUUGCAUCAUGAUUAAGCCAGUAUACUAAAGCAAAGCGCUCUUUAGUUUUUUACCCCGAAACUAGACGAGCUACUCCGAGACAGCCUAUAUGAAAUAGGGCUAAUCCGUCUCUGUGGCAAAAGAGUGGAAUGAUCUUUGAGUAGAGGUGACAAACCUACCGAGUCUAGUAAUAGCUGGUUGCCUAGGAAAUGAAUAGAAGUUCAGCCCUCCAACACGCCCCACCCCGACUGCAGUACUGAGCAACUUCGGCCCCGAGGCCCAACAGAGGAGUUAGUCAAAGAAGGUUCAGCUUCUUUGAACAAAGAAACAACUUUUAAAGGAGACUAAAGAUCAUAAUUAACAAGGAGCAAUUGUUCUAGUGGGCCUAAAAGCAGCCAUCUAAUCAAAAAGCGUUAAAGCUUAUACAAAACACCCCAUCCCCACGAUUUUGAUUUAAACAUCUUAUAUCCCUAAAGCUACUAGGCUACUUCAUGCCCCCAUGAAAGAAACCCUGCUUAAAUAAGUAAUAAGAGGGAACGACCCUCUCCUUGCACACGUGUAAGCCGGAUUGGACCAACCACCGACACUUAACGCCCCCAUCUUUUUACAAGAGGGCCCUGAGGGGGACCUGCCUAAGGACCAGAAAAUACCUCAACAACCAAGCGUUAACCCCACACUGGAGUGCUUYUUAGGAAAGACAAAAAGACAUGGAAGGAACUCGGCAAAUAAAAGCCUCGCCUGUUUACCAAAAACAUCGCCUCUUGCAAGAACGUGAAUAAGAGGUCUCGCCUGCCCAGUGACUUCAAAAGUUCAACGGCCGCGGUAUUUUGACCGUGCGAAGGUAGCGCAAUCACUUGUCCUUUAAAUGAGGACCUGUAUGAAAGGCAUGACGAGGGCUUAGCUGUCUCCCCUGUCUAGUCAAUGAAAUUGAUCUCCCCGUGCAGAAGCGGGGAUAGUACCAUAAGACGAGAAGACCCUAUGGAGCUUGAGACUAUCGAACGGCCCAUGUUAAACUUCCCAUUAUAAGUGGGCAGACCCAUAAUGAGUUACUCCGUCCUUAUGUCUUUGGUUGGGGCGACCAUGGGGCAAAGAAAAACCCCCAUGAGGACUGAGGGCCCUCCCCCCUUACACACUUCCCUCAUAGCCGAGAGCUUUCCACUCUAAGCAUCAGAACUUCUGACCUUAACGAUCCGGCCCACCGGCCGAUCCACGAACCGAGUUACCCUAGGGAUAACAGCGCAAUCCUCUCUCAGAGCCCAUAUCGACGAGGGGGUUUACGACCUCGAUGUUGGAUCAGGACAUCCUAAUGGUGCAGCCGCUAUUAAGGGUUCGUUUGUUCAACGAUUAAAGUCCUACGUGAUCUGAGUUCAGACCGGAGCAAUCCAGGUCAGUUUCUAUCUAUGACUUGCUCUUUUCUAGUACGAAAGGACCGAGAAGAAAGGGCCUAUACCACAGGCACGCCCUACCCCCACCUGAAGAAAUCAACUAAAAUAAGCAAGAGGGCAAACCCCUUAAGCCCCGGCCAAAGAUAAUGGCAUAUCAGAGCAGCAAACCCCAACAAUUGCUACAAGGCAUAAGCCCCCACAUAGAGGUUUAAACCCUCUCUCUGAUCCCACCACACCCCCACCUGAAUCGACCAACCAUAUAAGGGAGGGAGGAGGGGGACGUGGAAUUAACGCGCUGGUGUGGAAGUUACCGGUAAUUAUUACUAGCCUAACUCCUCUAAAACCCCAACUCAAGUGCAGAACUAUAUUGUAACAAACUACUAGCGUCUUUAUAGG
rnacentral:rRNA from 1 species